rnacentral:rRNA from 1 species
GACGUAGGGCGCGAGCGUUGUCCGGAUUUAUUGGGCGUAAAGAGCUCGUAGGCGGCUUGUCGCGUCGACUGUGAAAACCCGCGGCUCAACCGUGUGGCGGGCAGUUGAUACGGGCAGGCUAGAGUUCGGUAGGGGAGACUGGAAUUCCUGGCGUAGCGGUGAAAUGCGCAGAUAUCAGGAGGAACACCGGUGGCGAAGGCGGGUCUCUGGGCCGAUACUGACGCUGAGGAGCGAAAGCGUGGGGAGCGAACAGG